rnacentral:lncRNA from 1 species
GUUUACAGUCUACCCCCUUAAGGAGUUUACAGUCUAGUGGAAAUAUCCAAUCAUCACAUUAGCAUUAUAAAUGAAAUAGAAAGUUUCAGCAAGAUCAGCAGACCCAGUAUAGUUAGGUGUAUUAUCCCUUUGUGUUAUGUGUAAAUGGUUGUUUUCCAGUUACAGGUCUGUCUUCUAACCUGGCUUCCUGUGCUUGAAAUUUGGCUCAGUGGAAUAUAAUAAAGACACCUCAGUUCACGUCGGACCAUUCACAGCAGCAGAAGGGCAGGAUCGGCUGUAGAAAAGAUUUACAUUCUUUUUGGGAAGAGUCCAUUGCCUUUUUAUUUCCUAAAUGGCCAUUUUGUAUUUCACCCGUUGUUGAAUCAAAAGCAGAUAUCUCAAGAGGUGCUGGACCCUGAGAGUGAAGUUUAGUGCAUCACGUAAAGUCUGUGAACAAAGUUUUUCCUCCAGUAUGC